rnacentral:lncRNA from 1 species
CUCAGAUAGAUGUACUGCAGUUGAUUGUUGCAAGUGUGAUUUUAGUCAAAAAUAUGGGAAAAAAAAAAAAAAAAAAAAAGUAGAAACGUAGUUUAUUUUGCCUUUUCUUUUUGCCAGGUCAAAAUGUGAGGACAUACACUAAAAAGAGAAUGCUGUUUGAAGAAUGCUCUUGAGCACAGCUGGAUUGUCCAGAGCAAAAGUAACACUGAUGCAGUGACACUUCCUAAUUCAGUGCUGUAGAAAUGGGAAAUCCCUGCCCCUGAAAAUGUGACUAAGCAGGGCUCUCCCACAUACUUUCAUGAUUCUUUCUGCCUCCCCAAGCUCACAUUCUGAGCACCCUGCAGUCUGAGCUGGAUGCAUGUUGGUCUGCACUCCCAAAAUAUCCCAUCUGCUUUGAGGCUUUUAAAUUCUCUUAUUGAAAGAAAAAUGCACUCUGAAAGCACGGAAAGAGACUGAAACACAACAGGUUCCCUCAGGGCUUCACUGUGCCACUAUUCAACAGUGGAAUGUCCAUCACCACAGCAGUGCAGAGCAAGUGAGAUCUUCUCACUCCUGGAGUAUGAUUUGGUCUCCCUUUGUAUCAAUGACCACAGAAAAGAAUGGAAAUUAUUUGAUGGCUCCUUCUCCACUAUUCAAUGCUGGUUUGGAUGUGAAAAGCACAAUCUAGCCAUUUCUAAAGAAAUACCAAAACAUUGAGAGAUGACUGUAUAGAACAAUAGCAAAUUUCUUUGACUCAGGGUUGCCAUAUCCAGAUAGUUCAUCACUAGUCAUACAACAUUUUAUUUAUUUAAAGCUUCCAUUCCUUGCUUAUAGAUCUCAGCUUUCAAUGAAACAGCCUACAGUUUAUUUAUAUGCCUCCUGCUUGCAAGACAGAACAGAAACCUUAGAAGAAGAAAGCAAUGGAAGUGAGAAAGCACACACAAUAAAAGCAAUCAUGAUUCUACUGCCAGCUGAUGAGGUGGAGAAAUUUGCAAGACUCAGUACCAGACAGCAGCAUCCAGCUUGGGAACCAAGACAAAGCUGCAUCCCAAAUGAGAGUGACGGCCAGUCCCAAGGUCUUGUUAAGAAACCUCUGGGAAGGACACUGAAAACCUGCUAAGUGUCAGACACAGUGCCAUGGGAACAUCUCUCCUAAGGCCUUCCCAGACCUGUCAUUUCUUUCCCUUCCACAGUCAGUUACAGGCUCUUAGGUUUUUUUUUCCUCCUUUGAUAUUCGAAGACAUUUUAUCUUAGGACGUGAAGAAGAAUGUAUGUUAAUAGUGAAUUGAAAAGUCUGCUUUCUACAUUGCAUACAAUCAGAUAUUUCUUAAUUAACCUUCAGAAAAGGACUACGACGCGUUCCCACCACAUCAUUUAUCUAAUGAGUAAAUAAUAAAAGAACUGCUUGUCUUUUUGAAAUUUCA